UGAGAGAACACUCCCUCCUCUUCUCUCUCCCUCGCACACAAACACACACAGAUGCAGCUUUAAAGACCAGGAAGCAGCUCGUGCUGUCGGAAUUGAAGAUGUCAAGAAAAAUUGUGGGUUAUUGUGCUGCUCUGCUCUUCACUGUGACGUCGGUGUACGCUGCACGGAGAAGUCUGAACUGCAUCAACGAUCUGAACACCUGCCACCAGUUUGAUGACACAAACAUCUUAGAACUUCUUCACUGGUUUGCUUGUGAAGUUCAAAUCGACUACAACAAUAUCAUCCGGCUGACCUUUGAUCCAAACUCAGGUGAUUAUGGCAGCCAUUAUUACAGAAAUCAGGAGGGACUCCUGGAAUCUCCACCUAGGGGCUACCAUUACUACACAAUUGGCAAUAUUCACCAAGGCGGUUCAGCAUCACUUCCAUCUUAUGUAGUAAAUUCCCAGAGGAAUACUGACUGGAACAGCGCUCGAAUCCUAAUUUGUGUAAAUCGAGACAGACAGGUAGACCAAGUCUUCAUCACUCAGCAUUACGAUGAAUAUGAAAAUCAGGGAUCAAGCUAUGAUCCAGAACAGACAUUCAGAAUCACCACCAACUUUUUGAGGCAACUCAGGAAGCGUUCCAUUAAUGAAAUCCAACAACUUGCUGAUGGUUCCCAAACUGGACUGUUUAGAAACACCUCACAUGCCCACUCCCAGGAAGUUCACCAACCUAAGCAAAACACCCAAAUAGAUAUGGCUAAUAUCCCAGUAAGGCAAGAUGACUGCCUAAAAAACUGUAUAGCUAACUUUUGCUGCUUCAUUUGUGUUGUUUUUAUUAUUUUGAUCAUUUUAGGGUCUUACUUUGGUAAUCGGCGCAAAUAACAAUGUGAAAUAAGUGGGAAGGGACCAUGUCAUACUAUCUCAAAAAACAUGCAACUGUGGUGCUUAUUGAUAGUAAUAACGACGACGCCUUUUUCUAAAGAAUUUUUGUGACACAUUUUGAUCAAAUAUUUUGUGUAUUUUGCAAAAAUAUGAUUCAAGUGUGUAAAGAUUGUUUUUACUGUAUAUAUGAAAGAACACCUCUGCCUUAUAUCAAGCAAUAAUGUGCAUUCAGACAGCAUACACUAAACCCGGAAAUGUCUCUUUAAAACAGCAGCUUAAUAAAAAUGCAUCUCCACUUUAA